UACGAAGGUGGCAAGCGUUACUCGGAAUUACUAGGCGUAAAGGGCAGGUAGGUGGUUUGAUAAGUCUGUUGUGAAAGCUCCCGGCUCAACUGGGAGAGGCCAACAGAAACUAUCAGGCUUGAGUAUGGGAGAGGGUACUGGAAUUCCCGGUGUAGCGGUGAAAUGCGCAGAGAUCGGGAGGAACACCAAUGGCGAAAGCAGGUACCUGGACCAUUACUGACACUCAACUGCGAAAGCUAGGGGAGCAAACAGG
rnacentral:rRNA from 1 species